UGUGUAGGCGGUUGUCUUAAGUUUGGUGUGAAAUCUCCCGGCUCAACUGGGAGGGUGCGCCGAAUACUGAGUGACUCGAGUGCGGGAGAGGAAAGUGGAAUUCCUGGUGUAGCGGUGAAAUGCGUAGAUAUCAGGAGGAACACCGGUGGUGUAGACGGCUUUCUGGACCGUAACUGACGCUGAGACACGAAAGCGUGGGUAGCAAACAGGAUUAGAUACCCUGGUAGUCCACGCCCUAAACGAUGCAUAUUUGGUGUGGGUCAUUCAGUUGAUCCGUGCCGGAGCUAACGCGUUAAAUAUGCCGCCGUGGGGAGUACAGUCGCAAGGCUGAA
rnacentral:rRNA from 1 species